UUUAUCUUUACUUUAAUUCGUUAUAAAUAUGGUUAAUUUUUCAUUGUUUAGUUAAUUAAAUUAAUUAAUUUUACAAUUUAAAAAGUUGUUUUUAUAGUAAUCUAGUUAGCCUUGUUAGAUUUUUAAAGUUAAAACUAAUCUAGUUAGUUUAAACUAUAAGGUUAGUAAAAAUAACGUAAUUUGAGUUUUAAUUAAAGUGAAGCCCAAACCCACUAAUUAAACCCUAAUUAUAAAACACUAGUAAAACCCUAACCUUUAUUUAACAUCAGCCGACACCCUCCUAUUUUCUCUCCCAAAUUCUCUGAAUUUGCAUCUUAUCCUCACAAACAACACACAGACUCAUAAUAAUCUCCACUCCUUCUCUCGAUCCAUACUUCAAAACACUUACAACCUCCUUCUCAAAUUACCUAUAAAACUCACUCAUCUCUCCCUCACACAACACAGAUCAAAGAAACCCCCAUCACUAUCCUUCAAAACCCUCACAUCCCUCUCACUUGGAAGGCCAGCCGACCACCACACUUGGUGGCGGUGCUCGGCGGUUGAGGAAGAGAGUCAGCGAGAGAGAUGGAGAACGGGAGAUAGAUUAUCAGAGAGAGAGAGAGCCGACGACCGGCGGCGCCGCGAGUGGCGACGGAGCUGGUUUUUCCGGCAGACACAAACAACCACGGCAACCACCACCACUCGCAAACUGUUCGACACCCUCAAUCCACCAUAUUCUCGCACGCUCUCUCGUAAGUUGGAAGCUGCCAUAACUCGCCCGAGAAGUCCGACGUUCCCAGAGAUACACGGAGAUCGACGGUAGCCGUGUCGAAGUUCCCGAAGACAUACGGAGUUCGCGACGGAGCUCUCGCUUGAUCGUUUCGGUUAAUCGCUCUUGUUCAUUCUCUUGGAAUUCUCCAAUCUUUACUCGUGCGUUAUUUCGAGAAAUCUCCAAACGCAACCACUGUUGAUGAUGAUGAAAUGAAAGAGGUAGCACGAUGCCUAGAUACACACUUU